CAUUGUAUCAACUGGAGCGGGCGCAAACGAUGAUAACGUCGAUUACUUGAGGUGUUUAAGCCCUGAAGCGAAAAGAUGUGAAAACACGAUUACGUCAACUGCUUUUAAAUACAAAAUAAAAGAUGUGGAGGUGCCGGGCAUCGAUCCCGGUACCUCGCGCAUGCUAAGCGCGCGCUCUACCAUCUGAGCUACACCCCCGACGACGAUCAACUGCUCCAAAGUAUGGUAGUCAAUAUAACUUUAAGCGAAACGUGGCCACGAUUGCUCCGAUAUCGCUCACGGUGACCAACGCUAUUGCAAUCAAGGUUCUUCUGAUCAAAGACUUUACCUGUUCG